rnacentral:rRNA from 1 species
GGGGAUAACGUUUGGAAACGAACGCUAAUACCGCAUGAUAUUAUUGAGCUGCAUGGCUUGAUAAUCAAAGGAGCAAUCCGCUGAAAGAUGGGCUCGCGUCCGAUUAGGUAGUUGGCGGGGCAACGGCCCACCAAGCCGACGAUCGGUAGCCGGACUGAGAGGUUGAACGGCCACAUUGGGACUGAGACACGGCCCAGACUCCUACGGGAGGCAGCAGUGAGGGAUAUUGGUCAAUGGGGGAAACCCUGAACCAGCAACGCCGCGUGAGGGGAGACGGUUUUCGGAUUGUAAACCUCUGUCCUCUGUGAAGAUGAUGACGGUAGCAGAGGAGGAAGCUCCGGCUAACUACGUGCCAGCAGCCGCGGUAAUACGUAGGGAGCAAGCGUUGUCCGGAUUUACUGGGUGUAAAGGGUGCGUAGGCGGCUUUGCAAGUCAGAAGUGAAAUCCAUGGGCUUAACCCAUGAACUGCUUUUGAAACUGCAGAGCUUGAGUGGAGUAGAGGUAGGCGGAAUUCCCGGUGUAGCGGUGAAAUGCGUAGAGAUCGGGAGGAACACCAGUGGCGAAGGCGGCCUGCUGGGCUCUAACUGACGCUGAGGCACGAAAGCGUGGGUAGCAAACAGGAUUAGAUACCCUGGUAGUCCACGCUGUAAACGAUGAUUACUAGGUGUGGGUGGACUGACCCCAUCCGUGCCGGAG